rnacentral:rRNA from 1 species
CCUACGGGUGGCAGCAGUGAGGAAUAUUGGUCAAUGGGCGCGAGCCUGAACCAGCCAAGUAGCGUGAAGGAUGACUGCUCUAUGGGUUGUAAACUUCUUUUAUAUAGGAAUAAAGUGAGGCACGUGUGCCUUUUUGUAUGUACUAUAUGAAUAAGGAUCGGCUAACUCCGUGCCAGCAGCCGCGGUAAUACGGAGGAUGCGAGCGUUAUCCGGAUUUAUUGGGUUUAAAGGGAGCGUAGGUGGGUUGUUAAGUCAGUUGUGAAAGUUUGGGGCUCAACCAUAAAAUUGCAAUUGAUACUGGCUGUAUUGAGUACAUGUGAGGGAGGAGGAAUGCGUGGUGGAGCGGUGAAAUGCUUAGAUAGCACGAAGAACUCCGAUUGCGAAGGCAGCUUACUAAACUACCACUGACAGUGAUGCACGAAAGUGUGGGUAUCAAACAGGAUUAGAUACCCGUGUAGUC